rnacentral:rRNA from 1 species
UGGGGAAUUUUGCACAAUGGGGGAAACCCUGAUGCAGCGACGCCGCGUGAUUUAGAAGGUCUUCGGGUUGUAAAAAUCUUUUCUAUGGGAAGAAAAUGACAGUACCAUAGGAAUAAGGACCGGCUAAUUACGUGCCAGCAGCCGCGGUAAUACGUAAGGUCCGAGCGUUGUCCGGAAUCAUUGGGCGUAAAGGGUACGUAGGCGGGUAAGCAAGUUAGAAGUGAAAUCAUAUAGCUCAACUAUAGUAAGCUUUUAAAACUGCUCAUCUUGAGGUAUGGAAGGGAAAGUGGAAUUCCUAGUGUAGCGGUGAAAUGCGCAGAUAUUAGGAGGAAUACCGGUGGCGAAGGCGACUUUCUGGCCAUAACCUGACGCUGAGGUACGAAAGCGUGGGUAGCAAACAGG